UGCAUUGCGCCCGCCUGAGCUGGUGGGCCGCGUGCGCUUGGCCCUUUGCGGAGGGACGGCUGGUGCGCGGCGCCGCUGUUAGGCAGGGCCGCGUGCUCGGGGGCCCACUGUGGCAGCGCCCGGCGGGUGUUCCCUUCUGCCUGCUCGUCCUCUGAGGGCGGAUGCUGAGCUGGUGGGUCCUAGCGCUGGGGCAUAUUUCAGCAACUGCCUCCCUCCUGUGUCCUACUGUCAUUAGCACUCUACCUACUGCCUGCCCUUCAGUGGCUGAGCAGCUCCAGCAGGGUCAAGGGAGGCAAAUCCUUCCCACCUUCGACAUUUAGAGGGCAGCUGGUGGCUAUGGGAAAAUCAAACAGUUUAUGGCAAUACGUCCAGCUAGUAGUAAGAUACUGAUGUAUGCUCACCCCACCUCCCACAAACAGGUGGGUAUUACACUGAAAAAUAGAGGCUGGGAUACAACAACAAGACCUCUUAGAUUUACUUACAAUUAUUUAUUAACCUGCAACAGUUCUCAAAAUAGCCGGGCCACGACUGAGUUUCCAUAUCUGUAGCUCAUUCCGCUCCCUUUACAAAGAGGAAUUACAUUCUAAAUGCCACAGAGGUAUGUUUAUCUUCUAUCACUCAGCUGGUCUACAUGCUGAAUCUAUAGCGAAGACUACAGCAAAAAGUUAAGAUGACCCAGCUGUGUUGUUCAGGGGUGUGAAAGCUGACCUAACUGGUUUAGAUAGUGCAAGGUUGAUGGGAAGAAUUCUGUGGACCUAGCUGCUUCCUCUCGGGGAGAUGGAAUAGUUACAGCAACAGGAGAACCCCAUCACUGCUGUAGUGUUAAUUUACCUCCAUGAUCUCUAUCUGUUUCCCCUCCAGCUCAGCUCUAAUUUCUGUCCUAUUCUUUACUGGAUGCAGAAAUACCUUGUUGUUGUUGUUGACAUCCCUAGCACGUCUUUGUAUGAUCCGGGUACUCCUCCAUCGCGUCAAGCUUUUACUCCAGCUCUUAAUUUAAAUAAUAUCCCCAAACGUGUGCAGAGUUCCAUGCCAGAAGUCUGGUUCAUCUCUUGUGUAUAGGUGUUCACUUCUCCGAAAAGUUUCCCUUUGCUUAUUAAAUUUAAACCCACCCUCUUUAUAUUUCUCUCCCUGAUCCAUAACUAGGGCUCUUAGAGGGUUUAAUAAAUACUUAAUAAAGGUGCCACUGAUAGCUCCUCCACUGUUUGUGUCAGCAAGGCUACUAAAUUAUAUUUACAUAAAUCAAGCAUGGUUUUUAUGAACUCUGAACUUUUAUGAGCCUUACAGUAUCAGCCCACAUGGAUAAGCACAAUAUCAUGGAACUUUAUUACAACUGGUCUGGAGUUCUUUAAUUAUUUUUCAUCAAAAAUGUCUAUUUGUCAAAACCAAAACUGUUCAUGCAACAGGGUCAAGUUCAAUAAAUUCCCCAACUGAAAAAAAGUUUAGAAAUUGUCAACAUGAAAAAUUCUGGUUUUCCAGUUAGAAAUUACUUUUUGAUUAGAAAAUAAAGUUAAUUAGACUGAAAAAGGAUUUUAAAAAAAGAA